CAGUGGUAGUGGCUUGUUGAACUGGGGAGUCCCCGUCACAGAUCUCUUUCCCCACCAUCCUCCACUGGCUCACACCCCAUCCUACUCCCACCUAAGAUCUUCAUACUAUGGUAUGGCCUGGUAUCGAGUGAGGAAGGGCAAGGCCCACAUAGUGAAUGCAGAGCCCACAUCCUGGUUUCAUACUUGAUGAGCAUCCUUCCCUCCUGCCACAGAUACACCUCCAGGACAAAUGCCAAAUGAGUAUAAGGUUGGCAGCCUCAUGCCACAUCUGUCAGAAUUAGAAACUUACACUCUCCAAAGAGGAGCUAUUGAAACAAGCAUCACUUUUUUGGGAACAGGGUACAGGCUUCUGGGUAAACGCUAGACAUCAGACAUUUCCCAUCUGUGUUCUUAGACAGCUCAGUGAUCAAAGUGCAGAGAGAGGCCAGGAAAGGACCUAAUUCAGACUCUUCUUUGCAGCACCUGCUUGCUGCCUACUUUGUAGUUAUCCAUGGGCCUGCAGCUCUUUGCCAGAAUAGUUGCGCCU